rnacentral:rRNA from 1 species
UACGUAGGGUGCAAGCGUUGUCCGGAAUUAUUGGGCGUAAAGAGCUCGUAGGCGGUCUGUCGCGUCGGAUGUGAAAAUCAGGGCUCAACCCUGGACCUGCAUUCGAUACGGGCAGACUAGAGUUCGGCAGGGGAGACUGGAAUUCCUGGUGUAGCGGUGAAAUGCGCAGAUAUCAGGAGGAACACCGGUGGCGAAGGCGGGUCUCUGGGGCCGAUACUGACGCUGAGGAGCGAAAGCGUGGGGAGCGAACAGG